rnacentral:rRNA from 1 species
UACGUAGGGGGCAAGCGUUGUCCGGAAUCACUGGGCGUAAAGGGCGCGUAGGCGGCGCAACAAGUCACUUGUGAAAUCUCCGGGCUUAACUCGGAGCGGCCAAGUGAUACUGUCGUGCUAGAGUGCGGAAGGGGCAACUGGAAUUCUCGGUGUAGCGGUGAAAUGCGUAGAUAUCGAGAGGAACACCUGCGGCGAAGGCGGGUUGCUGGGCCGACACUGACGCUGAGGCGCGAAAGCCAGGGGAGCGAACG